AAAUAGGGUGUCUGAUUUAGGUAAUAAAUUGUAAAUUUAUUUAAGGGUUAAUUUCCUCCUAUU
rnacentral:tRNA from 1 species